ACCAAAGACAACUCUCAACAACGGAUAUCUUGGCUCCCGUAUCGAUGAAGAACGCAGCGAAAUGCGAUACGUAGUGUGAAUUGCAGAUAAUGUGAAUCAUCGAAUCUUUGAACGCAAAUUGCA
rnacentral:rRNA from 1 species